CAGAACCAGCUGGAAGUCUGCGUCCUGAACAGAACCAGCUGUGAAAACGUCCUCCCUGGAUGUUUGUGUAGACUCUGGUUCUCCACAGGAGGCCGUGGGCCGUUAAAGGAGAACACCUGCAGCCUGGGAACCUCCAGAGGAGCUUCAUGGAGUCCAGCUCUGAGGGUUCUCUGGUUCUGACCAACUCCAACAUGACCAAAUACAGAACAUAUCGGUUCCAUCUGAAAGAACCACGAGAAGACAAAAUCUCCAUCUUCUGUUCUCCAAGAACACGAUGGUAGCAGCGGUUAGCUUAGCAGCGCUGCACCUGGAUGGAGAACAAGUUCUCCUGCUCCGCUAAAGAUCCAUAAACGAGGUUCUCAUGUGUCUCCAUAUGCAGAUGACACCACGGUUUACAUCAGCGCCGCUUUCCAGAACCAGCCACAGACCUGCUGAAUUCAAGGUUCUACAGGCGGUUAGAGGAGGUUCUAGCAGGUGUUAAAGGAGGUUCUACGGGGUACUAAGGAGGUUCAAACAGCUGUUGAUUCUAACAGAUGUUGAAGGAGAUUUUACAGCGUAUUUACGGAGGGUUUGAAGGAGGUUCUACAGGUUAUUUAAGAAGGUUCUACAAGGUAUUUAAGGAGGUUCUACAAGGUAUUUACCGAGGUUCUAACAACUGUUGAUUCUAACAGAUGUUGAAGGAGAUUUUACAGCGUAUUUACGGAGGGUUUGAAGGAGGUUCUACAAGUUAUUUACCGAGGUUCUAACAACUGUUGAAGGAGCUUCUACAGGCUGUUAAAGGAAGUUCUACAGGGUUCUUAAGACGUUCUACAUGGUAUUUUAGGAGGUUCUACAUGAUUUUUACGUAGGUUCUAACACCUGUAGAAGGAGGUUCUACAGGGUUUUUAAGACAUUCUACAGCGUAUUUACGUAGGUUCUAACACCUGUUGAAGGCGGUUCUAACAGAAGUAGAAGUUCUACAUAAGGUUCUACUGGAUCACGGGUUCCAGUCAGUUCUAUCAGACGAACACCAGCAGCAUCUGAUGCGUCACGUCUCGUUCUACAUGAUUUUUACGUAGGUUCUAACACCUGUAGAAGGAGGUUCUAACAGAAGUAGAAGUUCUACAGGAGGUUCUACUGGAUCACGGGUUCCAGUCAGUUCUAUCAGACGAACACCAGCAGCAUCUGAUGCGUCACGUCUCGUUCUACAUGAUUUUUACGUAGGUUCUAACACCUGUAGAAGGCGGUUCUAACAGAAGUAGAAGUUCUACAGGAGGUUCUACUGGAUCACGGGUUCCAGUCAGCAGCAUCUGAUGCGUCACGUCUCGUUCCUGUGAGGCUGGAUUUACUUCAUCAUGAUGUCCGAGGCGUAAGGUUCUGCUGGGUUCUCCGUGCCGGUUCUGGACAGAACCUCUGCUGAUACCAGGCUCUAGCUGGCAGAACGAUUGUCCUCCAAACAGGAUGUUCCAUGUGAGCAGAGCAGCAGGUUCUGAUUUACUGCACCAGAACCAGAGUCCAUAUCAGACACCAUGUGGUUCUGACCCAUCGGCCCCGUUAUGUCACACAGCAGUGAUGGACGUAGGUCCAAGCCACCGUCCUGUUCUCAUCAGAACCAGCCAGAACGGACCGGUACCGGCUCCAGGACUCAUCUGGACCGACCCAUCCAGGGGGACCGGCUCUGCUACAGGAGGUUCUGGUUCUCCUCAGAGGGUGAGACAACCGGAGCAGAACCCCCACCAGCGUCCUGCUGUGAUAAGGAGCUCUGCUGGGGGUCAAAGGUCAGCUGGAGGCCCGUUAAGCCCGGUACCGAGGAGCUAAACGGGCCCGCUGGGCCUGAUAGCUGCUCCUCAUCACCACCAGAACCUCCUGGAAACCCAAACCCGGACUUAUUAUCUGGACCACCUCAUUGAUGUUCUGAUGGUUCAGAACCGGCCUCUGAUUGGCUGUGAUUGGUCAGAGCUCCAGGUAGACCCAGAGGUCGGCUAUCAGGACCAAAAUGUGGAUCAGAACCAGUUCUGAUCAUUACGCGUCAGGAUUAAUUUACGGGUCCAGAACCAGGCGAGUCUGGACCUCAGAGCAGAACCGCUCAGAGAUAACUCACUGAACAGCUUCAUGUUCUGAAGGUUCUAUUCAGCGUUGCACUCUGGUGUGAGCUGGUACCGGUAAGUGGGUCAGAACCCGAGCGGUUCUGGAAGGUAGAAACGGGCAGCAGAGAGAGCAGACCCGUAGAGAAACCCAGAACCCUUCUAGAACCCAACCUCUGAUUCCGGUCCACAUGGAUCCUCGUUAUUCCAGAACAAAAACCCAACAGGUUCUGGUACAGGUCCAUUUGACCAUAGAGAACCGGGUAUUUUCUGACGUUUUUAAAGCGUACGGUUCUGGAUCUGUCCCCUAAAACGGUUCUGCCUCCCCCUGACGGACCAGAACAGAACAAUCCCCCAUCAGAAACAGAACCUCACCAGAACCAUCUUUAGAUCGUUUUAUUUUGUACAAAAACACAAUCUGCAGAAAUAUGGGUCGGUAUAAAAUCUUUGAUACAUGAUCGGACCUCCGGUAAAAAGUGCCCCCAGCGGUCCAGCUGGUUCUGAGUCCAGAACAGGUCCAGAACAGGUCCAGAACGGGUCCAGAACAGGUCCGUCUUCUCAGGGUUCCUAAAAACAUUCAGGUUCUGCUAAAAACAACAGUUUUAAGUUAAAAAAGUUUAAAUGGCUUCAGCUGCACUGGUUCAGGUCCAGAUGGCGGGUCAGGA